UGGGGAAUAUUGGGCAAUGGGCGAAAGCCUGACCCAGCAACGCCGCGUGAGAGAAGAAGGUCUUCGGAUUGUAAAUCUCUGUCGCAGGGGACGAAGGAAGUGACGGUACCCUGUGAGGAAGCCCCGGCUAACUACGUGCCAGCAGCCGCGGUAAUACGUAGGGGGCGAGCGUUGUCCGGAAUUACUGGGCGUAAAGGGUGCGUAGGCGGCAAUUUAAGUUGGAUGUGAAAUACCCGGGCUUAACCUGGGGGGUGCAUUCAAAACUGGAUAGCUAGAGUGCAGGAGAGGGAAGCGGAAUUCCUAGUGUAGCGGUGAAAUGCGUAGAUAUUAGGAGGAACACCAGUGGCGAAGGCGGCUUUCUGGACUGUAACUGACGCUGAGGCACGAAAGCGUGGGGAGCAAACAGG
rnacentral:rRNA from 1 species